rnacentral:lncRNA from 1 species
AUCAGCCGGAGAAAACACCUAUUUUCUCGUGAUAAACUAAAGCUUUUUCUCAAGCAACACUGUGAACCACAAGAUGGAGUCAUUAAAAUUAAGGCAUCAUCUUUUUCAACAUAUAACAUAGCAGAGCAAGAUUUUUCUUAUUUCUUCCCUGAUGAUCCACCUACAUUUAUCUUCAGUCCUGCUAACAGACGAAGAGGAAGACCUCCCAAACGAAUAUCUUUUGGUCAGGAAGACAACAUUGCUAGUAAGCAGACUAUUGCAAGAUGUCGGAGCAAGGCUAUUAAAGAAAGAGACAAACUUUUGAAACAAGAAGAAAUGAGGGCACUAGCUUUUGAAAAGGCCAAACUAAAACGAGAAAAAGCAGAUGCUUUGGAAGCAAGAAAAAGAGAAAGAGAAGAUAGAGAGAAAAAGAGGGAAGAAUUGAAGAAAAUUGUAGAAGAAGAACGACUCAAGAAAAAAGAAGAAAAAGAGAGACUUAAAAUAGAAAGAGAAAA